CUGGCGUAUUGGCGUGUUGGGGUUUUGGCAUGUUGGGGUGUUGGCGUGUUGGCGUAUUGGCACAUUGGCGUGUUGGCGUGUUGGCGUAUUGGCACAUUAGCGUGUUGGCGAGUCGGCGCACUGGCGUAUUGGCGUGUUGGGGUUUUGGCAUGUUGGGGUGUUGGCGUGUUGGCGUAUUGGCACAUUGGCGUGUUGGCGUGUUGGCGCAUUGGCGUAUUGGCAUGUUGGCGUGUUGGCGUAUUGG
rnacentral:misc_RNA from 1 species